rnacentral:rRNA from 1 species
GGAGGAAAGCAGGGGAUCGCAAGACCUUACGCUUUUGGAGCGGCCGAUGUCUGAUUAGCUUGUUGGUGAGGUAAAGGCUUACCAAGGCUUCGAUCAGUAGCUGGUCUGAGAGGACGACCAGCCACACUGGGACUGAGACACGGCCCAGACUCCUACGGGAGGCAGCAGUGGGGAAUUUUGGACAAUGGGGGAAACCCUGAUCCAGCCAUGCCGCGUGAGUGAAGAAGGCCUUCGGGUUGUAAAGCUCUUUCAGCCGGAACGAAACGGUUACGAUUAAUACCUGUAACUACUGACGGUACCGGAAGAAGAAGCACCGGCUAACUACGUGCCAGCAGCCGCGGUAAUACGUAGGGUGCAAGCAUUAAUCGGAAUUACUGGGCGUAAAGCGUGCGCAGGUGGUUUUGUAAGUCAGAUGUGAAAUCCCCGGGCUUAACCUGGGAACUGCGUUUGAAACUACAAAGCUAGA